AUCGGAUAGAGUACUUCGGUACUCUUGCCGGCGACCGGCGGACGGGUGCGUAACGCGUAUGCAACCUACCUUCAACAGGGGGAUAAUCCGAAGAAAUUUGGUCUAAUACCCCAUAAUAUUCCGACAGGCAUCUGUCGGAGUUGAAAGCUUCGGUGGUUGGAGAUGGGCAUGCGUUGUAUUAGCUAGAUGGUGAGGUAACGGCUCACCAUGGCGAUGAUACAUAGGGGGACUGAGAGGUUUUCCCCCCACACUGGUACUGAGACACGGACCAGACUCC
rnacentral:rRNA from 1 species